UGGUAUUCCUAGGACUUUUAAACUUAGUAUACAUCCAUAGGUAAUGGCUGCAAGUGAGAAUCUACUUUUUGAAACAAGUUGAAAAAAAGCAUUUGUCUACAAAAGAACAUCAGAUACUGCACUUUUUACAAAUUGAAUGUUUGUGGCAAGCCUGCAUCGAGAAAGUCCAUUGAUGCCAUUUUUUUCAAACAGAAAAGUAAAGAUGUUUCUGGAAGGCACCAGGAGUCCUGUCUGCACUGAGCACCAUGAAGUUCACCUGCAUUGAGUUCUUUCCCUUUGUACAACACUUACUCCCAGACCAAAAAAUAACUCCUUCUCUCCAAUCUGUGUUCCAGGCAAACCAAUAGACUCCAGUUGUCUCCCGAAAUGCUUAAAGUGCUUUUCCAAUAUCCACUAUGUUUGGGCA
rnacentral:lncRNA from 1 species